rnacentral:lncRNA from 1 species
ACAAGCGCUCGCUGUGGUUCUGGCAGCGAAGUGCGAGACUGGGCUCGCCAGGCGGAAGUGGUUGGAGACUGCGUGUUUUCCUAGAAAGUCCUCGACCUUCGUCGGGGAGAGGAGGGGAGUGAUAAAUUGGAAGGCGGACAAGCGACAAGUGCGGUACUGGAAAGACCCAAACAUACUUGGUUGUGACCUCAGGACUCAAUAAAAUAAACAGCUGGAAAUAAGCAGACUAGUGUAAGAGUGAAUUGAAAAGAAAACCCAAGGUCACAUCUCCCAAGAAGCAGUAAUGUUCCAGCAAUAAGAAAAGGACAGUUUUUUGUCUUUUGCAUGGUGAGCCUUAUAUGAAUUACAUCAAUUUUGUCACCAAUAUCCAUCAUCAGAACAUUUUGUGGCACUGUGGCUCGAACCAAUGUCCAGCUUCCACACUAUCUGCUUGGAAGAGGAUUACCCUUAUUUGGAAGUCUCAGUUUUGAGGAUUUGGGGAAAGCAGGCACGCAAGCAGACACACCUUAUUCUCUACAGCAUCAUUUAUACCUCAACUAAGUCAGCUGAACAAAUGCCUGCUGAAAAGUUCUGGGAGUGGCAUAGCUAAGAACCAGAAAGGCGAUCUUUCUUUUGGAUUAAGUCAACAGAGUCAUACCCACAAGGAGAACUAUCAAAUAUCAGAUGCGAGAGGUGAAGUGGGGUUAUAAGAUUCUACAUAACACAUUGCAAAUGGUCACAACAAUCAAGACUAUA